rnacentral:rRNA from 1 species
GUGUCUAGAUGGGGGCUAUUUUUGAAAUUAGGUGGCUGGUGCAGAUCCCAGCGAUUUUUAAUCAGACGGAAAGACCCCGAGAGCUUCGGCAGUUUUGUGCUUACUUGGGGCAAGGGCAAAUGUUUCACAUGCUUUUGGAUCCUUUGGGAAAGAGUUUUAGUUACCUCGGGGAUAACUAGGUAAGAGACGAGGAGAGGUCCUAUCGAUUCGUCUGUUUGCCAUCUCGAUGUUGACUUAGGGUUAGGAUGGGGGUGUAGGAGCUUCCAUGUCUUGGUCUGUUCGACCGUUGUUCCCUUCAUGAGCU